UGGGUACCCGCACCAGAGUGAUGUGAAAUGC
rnacentral:piRNA from 1 species